rnacentral:SRP_RNA from 2 species
GCUGGGCAUGGUGCUGUGUGCCUGUAAUCCAGCUACUCUGGAGGCAGAGGCAGGAGAAUCGCUUGAACCCAGGAGGCGGAGGCUGCAGUGAGAGCCUGCAAGAUCAUGCCACUGCACUCCAGCCUGAGUGACAGAGUGAGACUCUGUCUCAA